rnacentral:rRNA from 1 species
AGAGUGAACGCUGGCGGUAGGCCUAACACAUGCAAGUCGAACGGCAGCACAGGAGAGCUUGCUCUCUGGGUGGCGAGUGGCGGACGGGUGAGGAAUACAUCGGAAUCUACCUUUUCGUGGGGGAUAACGUAGGGAAACUUACGCUAAUACCGCAUAAGACCUUCGGGUGAAAGCCGGGGACCUUCGGGCCUGGCGCGGAUAGAUGAGCCGAUGUCGGACUAGCUUGUUGGCGGGGUAAAAGCCCACCAAGGCGACGAUCUGUAGCUGGUCUGAGAGGACGACCAGCCACACUGGAACUGAGACACGGUCCAGACUCCUACGGGAGCAGCAGUGGGGAAUUUGGACAAGUGGGCGCAA